CCCUUAGAUGUUCUGGGCCGCACGCGCGCUACACUGAUGCAUUCAUCGAGCCUAUCCUUGACCGACAGGUCCGGGUAAUCUUUGAAUCUGCAUCGUGACGGGGAUAGAUUAUUGCAAUUAUUAAUCUUCAACGAGGAAUGCCUAGUAGGCGCAAGUCAUCAGCUUGCGUCGAUUACGUCCCUGCCCUUUGUACACACCGCCCGUCGCUCCUACCGAUUGGGUGUGCUGGUGAAAUGUUCGGAUCGGCCGUUUGUCGCGGUUUCCGCGGCUCGUGGCUGAGAAGUUCAUUAAACCCUCCCACCUAGAGGAAGGAGAAGUCGUAACA
rnacentral:rRNA from 1 species